rnacentral:rRNA from 1 species
AUUGAACGCUGGCGGCAGGCUUAACACAUGCAAGUCGAGCGGGCGAGGUUGCUUCGGUAACUGAGCUAGCGGCGGACGGGUGAGUAAUGCUUAGGAAUCUGCCUAUUAGUGGGGGACAACAUUCCGAAAGGGAUGCUAAUACCGCAUACGUCCUACGGGAGAAAGCAGGGGCUCUUUAUGACCUUGCGCUAAUAGAUGAGCCUAGGUCGGAUUAGCUAGUUGGGGGGGUAAAGGCCUACCAAGGCGACGAUCUGUAGCGGGUCUGAGAGGAUGAUCCGCCACACGGGGACGUAGGCACGGCCCAGACUCCUACGGGAUGCAGCAGUGGGGGAUAUUGGAGAAUGGGGGGAACCCUGAUCUAGCCAUGCCGCGUGUGUGAAGAGGGCCUUUUGGUUGUAAAGCACUUUAAGUGGGGAGGAGGCUUACCUGGUUAAUACCUGGGCUAAGUGGACGUUACCCACAGAAUAAGCACCGGCUAACUCUGUGCCAGCCGCCGCCGUAACAC